UACGUAGGUGGCGAGCGUUAUCCGGAUUUAUUGGGUUUAAAGGGUGCGUAGGCGGGCUUUUAAGUCAGCGGUAAAAAUUCGGGGCUCAACCCCGUCCGGCCGUUGAAACUGGGGGCCUUGAGUGGGCGAGAAGAAGGCGGAAUGCGUGGUGUAGCGGUGAAAUGCAUAGAUAUCACGCAGAACCCCGAUUGCGAAGGCAGCCUUCCGGCGCCCUACUGACGCUGAGGCACGAAAGCGUGGGGAGCAAAUAGG
rnacentral:rRNA from 1 species